rnacentral:rRNA from 1 species
UACGAAGGGGACUAGCGUUGUUCGGAAUUACUGGGCGUAAAGCGCACGUAGGCGGAUUUGUUAGUCAGGGGUGAAAUCCCGGGGCUCAACCUCGGAACUGCCUUUGAUACUGCAAGUCUCGAGUCCGAUAGAGGUGGGUGGAAUUCCUAGUGUAGAGGUGAAAUUCGUAGAUAUUAGGAAGAACACCGGUGGCGAAGGCGGCUCACUGGUCCGGUACUGACGCUGAUGUGCGAAAGCGUGGGGAGCAAACAGG